AUGGAGCUGAAGAGAGGAAAGACUUUCAUCAAAUCUAGCCUGCAGAUUGACCAUGAGAAACCUCCAGACCCAGCAGCGACUGCCCUGACCACAGAGGAUGCAAUCUCACUGGGAGGGCAGCAGCUGCCCCACAGUGAGAGGGGUCCCCAGGUUAGUCCCAGCACCCAAGGAUACGACAGAUGCCUUGAUCGGGAAGCCCAGCCAGACACCAAUGGAGGGCCUGCAGCUCUCUGUGGGGCCACCUUCAAACUGGUUCGGAAGAGCAAGAAUCACGACAGUGUGCCGAGGGCUGACAGGGCAGCCACAGCUACAGGGCAGCUGGUGGGCAGCGCAAGUUUCCCAGGGACCCCCGGCAGCCAGCGCAUGAUUGACUACCGCCACUUUGUGCCCCAGAUGCCCUUCGUACCAGCUGUGGCCAAGAGCAUCCCAAGGAAGAGGAUUUCACUGAAACGACCCAAGAAGUGCUUUCGUAACCUAUUCCACAUCCGCAGAAACAAGACUGAGAAUUUGCCCUCACAGGCAACCAAGGGACAGGGCUUGUCUUCUCCCAAGGGCCCAUCAGAGACUGGAGGGCAGCAAGGCAUAGCCUUCCUCCCCUUGGGCGAGGAACUGGGACUGGAUGGCCAGUGCCAGGACCUGUCUGACAGUGAGUUCCUGCCCGAUUCUUCCUUUGACCUCUGCAGGGCCCUGUGUGAGGACGUGGCCUCACUGAAGAGCUUUGACUCACUCACAGGCUGUGGGGAGAUCUUUGCAGAUGAGAGCUCAGUGCCAUCCCUGGAGCUGAACGAGGGCCUGGCGAGCCCUGCCCAGAGAUCACAGGCUUCUGACAGCAAGGCUUCCAGGGGCCCCUUCCAAGGCAGCAUAGAGCAGCUGGCAUCGCCUGCCCAGAAUGAGAUGUCUGACUUUGCCAAGUUCUGGGACCAUGUGAAUCACUCAGUGAGGCAGCAGCAGCAUGCCCUGCUAGGCCCAUGGCUGGGAGGCCCCCAGGCAUCAGACACAGACCAGCCCAGGCCAGAUGCAGCUAGGCUGGCUGAGCUCCCCCUGUGCCCAUGCAGGGAUCCCCGCAGCAGCUCCAAAGCCAGCUCCACAGACACAGGGACCCCCAAGAGUGAGCGGCCGGAGUCUGUGUCCACGAGCGAUGAGGGCUACUAUGAUGCCUUCUCACCAGGCCUCGAGGAGGACAAGAAGGAGGCCCUGAGCCCAGGCACAGCCACAGCCACCUUCCCCCGGGACAGCUACAGUGGAGACGCCCUCUAUGAGCUCUUCUAUGACCCUGCUGAGGGCCCUGGGAGUCCGAGCCUGGAUGAUGACUUGUGUGGGUCCGAGAGUCUAUCGGGGCCUGCAGCGGGAGCCCCAUUGUCCAUGUGCAGCUUCCAUGUCGGUGCAGAGGAGAACCUGGCUCCUGUUCCAGGCCCAGACCUACUCAGCCAGGGCUUCUUGCAGAGCUCUUGGAGGGGCAAAGAGUGCCUGCUGAAGCUCUGUGACACCGAGCUUGCCAUCACCAUGGGCAUUAUCAACUGGCUCCGCCGGGGCCCGGAGCUCCGUGCCUUGCCUGCCUCCACUCUCAGAGAGCCGGCAACUCCCUCAGGAAGACUGGUGGAGAAACCAGGAGCUGGCUCUGAGAAGAUGGGCCUAGGUCCAGUGAAACUGGAUGGCAGGGGCACCCAGGCUUUAGAUGCAGGUAGAAUCUCUAUGAGCUCUGUACCCAGCAGGAAGGAGCUGUGGGCAUGUUCAGGUCCCAAGGGCCUGCUUGCUGGAGUGAGCAAGGUCCUAGCUGGGGCCAAGCAGGAGACCAAGUCUUCAUCCUGUGACCCCUGUCUGGAGUGUGUGCCGGUCUCUGGGGAACGAGGGACACAAGGCCACCCUGAAGGCUCGUUCUCCCCUGUAGGGUCUGCAGCCGCCAUGAUAACCAACAUAUCCAGGAAGAACAAGGUCCCACACCCAUCUGUUUGGCCUGGCUCCCAGGAGCCCAGGCUGCCUAGGAACCUCGGGUGUUUCCAAGGUCCCUGGAGGCCAGGUCCUGGGGGAAGCACCAUGGAUUCAAAACUCACCCUGACAGGCUGUGUGGCCCAGGUGGAAGCCCUACAGAUCAACCCAGACUGCCAGUCCCCUGCUGCUCAGCCCCCAAGACAAAACACAGGUAAUGGGCUCUGCGGGAAGCCUCAGGCCAGGGACCCUGACAUUCUGCAACAGGAACAGCCUAAUGGCUUCCCUAACCUGGCUGCCAUCUGUGGCCUGCCCUCCCUGGCCAACCCACUCCACAUCCCACAGGACCAGAGAUGCCCAGGCAGCAUUCUGGACCUGAGUCAGCUCAGGGAGGAGCCUGGUAUGCUGAAUGUCCAGGCCUGUGUCUCUGUGGAGGACCGGCCCCUGCAGCCCAACUCAAGGGCUAUGGAGCAGGCUGCACAGAGGGGCCAGCUGGACUUGUAG
rnacentral:lncRNA from 1 species